GGUUAUGGCAUACUCGCCAUUGCUGAUUUCCUAUUAUUUCUGAUUACAAGAUAAACAAAGCCUCUUCACGGAGCCAAGAGGUAACCUCCAAUUUGCCUUGAAUGAAAGCGUGAGCGGAAGAGACAGCUUUAGAAAAAUGUGAGCACUGCUCAGUAGAAAGAUAAUUCUUCUUGGAUUUUGGGGGAGGGGGGACCCCCGACUCGUAAUCUGACCACAUCCCCUUGAGUUUUUUAAUUUGCAUUUAAGGAGAGUCUGUCCCACCCACCCCACCCUCCACGGAAAAGGAUUGGCUGUGAAUUUAACACCUGCAGCCUGGCAUCUGGGACAGUUGAAUAGAAAACCAGUUAAGAUGUGUUCCAGCCCUGCAGAUAUUGUUCCCAAGCACGGUGGCAGUGGAUGUCCUUCCAGUGAUGUAAUAGAUGUAGGGGACAGGAGGCUCUUCAUUGACAGAAUGCAGAUCCAGAUCUCGGUAGAAGCAGAGGUGAAAACCAUUCCUCUAAAAGCCCUGCCUCCUUCCUUCAUUAAGAGGAUGGGUCUGUCCUUUAGAAGUGUCCAGGACCAGACGGGAGAUCCAGACCCGAUAGUGCUGUGCAUUUCUCCAGUCCGCGCUAUGGAAGCAGAGGAAUUUGGCAAACAGUCUCAAGCCGUCGACAAGAACGCAGCUGGCUGUGGACUCGAGGGUGACUGUAAGCGGAGCACAUGCCUGCUUCCAGUUAAAACCUCCAAUCUGAUGGCUUUUAAAGUCCUGAAGAACCUCUAUGACAACCAGAGCUCUGAUGCCAUUGACCCGCUUAAGGAGAUUCUGAAAUCGUGCGGCGCUGCCUGUGUCCCCCAGGGCAAAACGUUCCGGUUCAAGCAGGAUGCGCUGAUCAUCCACAACAGAAAGGUGUACCUGUUCAUUAACAAGGCAAAGGGGGUGCAGGAGAAACUGCAACUCAGGAACCCUUCGCAGGCAGGGCCCAUGCCGAGCUGUGCUCCAGAAUCCACCCAUCCUGUUACUGCCCAGAAGAGUCUCUCCGUUUCCCCCACCAGUGAGACACAGCCUGGUCCAGUGUGCACCACCCCUCAAAGUUGCUCUGGAUCCCCGAAGCAGGGCUUGUCCAGUGUCUCUAGUGCCCCCGUAAAAGAGCACGCCAAGCCCUUUGACAUCAGGGUUUUGAAGAAGAGGUUUGGAGUUUCCCAGGAACUGCAGGUUACAGUCGCCAGGCUUCCUAAUAAGAACUUGGGGGGCCCAAUAAAAGAACAGAGCACCUCCUCUGACGCGGGAAAGGGUGGUGUGCAGCAAUGUGAGCUACUGGAUCUGUGCCAUGUAGAGAGCCAGAGCCCGGAUGCUGAAGAACCUACUGCAACUGAGGCGCUGGAGGCUGACGAAGUGGAGCAGAGCGCAGUGGAGGAUGCUGCGGAACAGGCCAGCAGUGAGGAUUUGGACGAUGAGCCUCCUUCCAAAAAAUCCAAACUGGACUCGGAAGGCCAGGAGACCUGCUUCCCUGACCCUGAGCCCCGGGAGGCAGGGGCUCUUUUGGCUGAGCAGGCAGGGGGAGACGGAGUGCAGGAAAGCGAAGUGGGGCUGGACUUCUCCUUGUCCGACCUGGGGUUCACCACGGUGUUUGAUUUUGACCAGUCCGUGCGGGAUGAGAAAAUCAGUCGCAUCAAAGCCCUGCUGAAAGAGAAGGAGGCCGCGCUGAACAGACUGAAGAAGCCAGAUUCUUUGCCGUGAUCUGACCUUUGUGCAGCCUAGGAGACUUUCCUCAUGUGUAUAUAAUCGCAGAGAAGCUAUUGAGAUCCUAACUUAUUUUUGCCUUUGUAAUCUCUGCGUGAAUUUAAUAUACACUUCAGAUUCCUUCGUUAACCUAAAGACUGAAUACAACAUGGACAUCUUUGAAAAACAUAUAGGUUUAGUACAGAAGGCUAGCUGACGAAGCUAUAGUUUGUCCUGAUAUUAAUUAGCAAUGUUUUUUUUUCUUUCUAAGUUUUUUAUUUUCUCUUCAAAGAAUGUACAGUAAAUGAACAUAGUUAAACAGCGCAGCUCAGGCAGUAUCUGCAUCGUCAGGGUUUUUUUACCCAUAUUGUCAACAGCAUUCUUUUGUAAAUAUUUAAAAACUGGUGUUUAAGACGUGGCAUAUUUGUCUGCGGCUGCUAGCCCAGAUCAGAUGCUGUAUUCACUGAGUUUUAAGUCUGUUUUCAGUUCUUUAUUUUGGUGUUAAAAUAGUCAGUUUUGUUUAAAAUCAAAAUUUAAGUGGAAAAAAAAAAUUGUUCCAAACUUUUUUCUCACUUUUGAAAUUAAAAAGAACCACUUCUUCAGAGGCAGUUAAUAAAAUUAAACGGCUAUUUCAUGAAAACUAUUUUUCCUCAGAUACACAUUUUUGAAGCAUUAUGUGAUGUGAAUGUGAACAGAUGUCAAACCCAUGUUCUAAAAAAAAAGUAGUAUCUAACUUGGUCCUGGAGGCACAGUUCUUAAAUGCCCUAAGUCAACUCAUUUUUUAUCUAAUUGGACCAAUUUAAGUUUGAGAUCAACUUCAGAAGCAGCAGCCCUCCACAGACCAGGACUAGAGACCCCUGUAAUUUGUCAUCGUAGAGAAAUUGCUAUAAUUUGAACUGUUUCUGGUUUGGUUUUUUUCAUCGAUCACUUCAGUAUCAGUAAGCUGUUUACCAUGGUGAAGGUCACGACAAAGCCAGAGCCCGUCCCAGAAGAUUAGUGCUCAAGGCAGGGCUCAGAGUACACAACUGCUCUCCCCUGGAUGUGUGCCAGUCCAUCGCAAGGCCACAGAGAAAGACAAUAGCAAAUGAAACCUAGGAAACAGGAGCACCUGGUGAAAACCCACAUUCCUGCUAGUUGGGGCACCUAUCUGGCAUUUAUAUGUGGUGUAGUUCACUAAAGAAGUUUGUGAAAUGUCCUUAAGCACUGGACAUUUGUGUCCUAUUUCCAGUCCUGUUCAAUUGUUAACUGUGUUUCCCUCUGUGUUCAGUCUUGUUCCUUGAACAUAUACCAAAGUAUAUGCAAUGACCACAAUAAUCUCUCCGUCUGUGUUCUUAAAGAUGGUUUUUCGAGCUCAUACAUCAGAAAGAUUACAGAAACCAAAAUUAUCCUGCAGCUAGGAUCACACCUUCCCCCUUCUCUAAGUUUCAUUUCACACCUCUCUACACCUAUUCUCACUUCACACCUCUUGAUUGGCCUCUCUUUCUGUCCCCUGCUCCCGCCUCUCACUCCUCCUCUCUCCCAGCCUUUGUUCUCCCGCUACAUUACCUUUGCCUACUGCCUUGUCUUUCUCAUACCUGAAGAAGGCUCCAGGGCCGAAACGUUGUGUUUUCUUUCUUCUUUUUUUCAGCAUGGAAUAAACCUAUUGUUCCUUUGCAGUCUACGCAUGCUGACGCAGCUACCCACCUGAACUACCAAAGUAUGUCCAUAUGCCUUGACAUUUCUAGCUGGAACAGAGCUAGAGUUUCUCAGUCUUUAACUGUGGUGUAACUGGUGGCUUUGAAAUUAGCUUCAAAUUAGCUUAGCAAAAUUCUGUAGCUAUACACUAGCCGGACGUGCUUAGGACUCCAAAGCUAUAUCUUUGCCAUUGCCAGCUGUUUCUGCAAUAUCUGACAGGCUCCUGUGAGGGUUGAUUUUUACAGUGCCCUUUUGUUAGGUGUGUGGCUUGGUCGCUAUAAUAAUGUUGUCAUUAAACUAGGUGGUGAUGUUCCAUUAAACCGUUCUCCGGUCAAACACAUUACCUUGAAAGUCUUGCCAGAAAUUUAAAAUGUAUUUUUUAUGAGGAACUUUAUGAGAAAUUCUAAAUAUCAUGUGUUCUCUCUAAGGAUUACUGCUGUGGCUUGUUCAAAGAACUCUUUCAUUAAUUAAGCAAAAAUGGACUUUUCCUAAAUUCACCUUGUCUAUCCCCUAGAUUCCUAGAAGUCAAGACCGAUGAUCAGUAAACUGUAUUGGUUAGAAAGUAUCUGGUUUCAUGUUUGCUUGUUUUAUUCUGCAAAGGCCCUGUAGUGUAAACUACACAACAUUAAUUCUCUUGCAGCAAUGAGCAAAAAUAAAAAAGGAAUUACCUCCUUGA
ensembl:lincRNA